AAGUUGACAUUAACUACUUAAACUUUUUGUUUCUUUUAGGUUGCUAUUAAUCGGUUUAAAUUUGUUUUAAACCUUAUUUAAAAACCGCUAAUGAAUCGUUUCAAUUAAACAAACCUAAAAACAAACUACUUCGGUCAUCACGGUUUGAUGUGGAUUUGAUUCUCCAAAAGCAGCGAAGCAGUUGAAGCAAUAUAGUUGAUGGUGUUCAACGAUUUCUUAGCCAAGUGGUUAUUACAAGCGGAAGUUCAACCUGUCGAACCUCCUGACAAGUUAAGUACCUUGUUUGCAUAUGUCAGUGCAGACGUUUACGAGCAUAUAGAAGAUUGUACGACGUACGAUGCUGCUGUAAAUAAAUUAAAACGUGUGUUCGUUAAACCAGUUAAUGUAAUAUUUUCACGACACAGUUUAGCAACUAGAAAGCAGAUGCCCGAUAACAAUGUAUGCGUUUUACUUCGCAAUCCCCAUUCGUUCAGUAAGGAAAAGUGAAUUUAAAGAUGUCAGCGGGGAGGAUUAUAGAAAAGAGUUGGUUUGCAAUGCUUUUAUGAAUGGUUCGUCAUCUCAUAGCGUCCGCCAACGGUUGCUCGAAAUUAAUGAACUCACAUACUUAUAACUAGAGCAAGCUUUCGGUGUAGCUCGUUCGCUGUUACAUCGAUAACUCAGUUUGCACUAAAUUACGCUUAAACUCACAUCUGUCAACGCACCAAGUUCGUAUGGCGUGUUCAUCAGUGAAACUCCGUUCGGUUGGUUUCUGUUUCGCAGACUUGGUCAUGAAAGUUGUUCGGUACCAAGAUACGAAACUAAACAUACUACACAAACUUUGUUGUGGUGUUAUUUUAGGUUUGUACUUUUAAAGCAAGCAUCAAAGAGUUAUUUUUGAACCCGAAGGCAGUUGAUCGUCAGACUUGGUCAUCGGAGUUGGUUCGAUUUGUGCUGUCGGUAUGAUUGAGGAAGCCUCAUUCUUUUCGAACCUAUCGUCAGAUGUCAAGCCAAUAGCAACGAAAUCUCGACGAUAUAGUCCGGAAGAUAAAUUGUUUAUUAAAGAAAACACCGACAAGCUCCUCGAAGGGAAGAUAAUUCAAGCAAGCUCCUCGUCUUGGCGAGCACAGAACUUUUUUCGGUCGGUAAUAGAGCUCGUAUUGCAUUUGUUCCGAUCUACUACAUAUGCGCAGUAGCGACUCCGCGCAUGCACAACAGCGACCAGUACUGGAACGAAUAUAUCACGACACUGGACUCUAUAUUCAAUAUUGGGCUCGUAGUGACCAUAUAGAUCCUUUUUC